rnacentral:rRNA from 1 species
AAGUCAGAUGUGAAAGCCUCCUGUUCAACGGGAGAAUUGCAUCUGAAACUACUGAUCUUGAGUGUAGGAGGGGAGAAUGGAACUUCUGGUGGAGCGGUGAAAUGCGUAGAUAUCAGAAGGAACGCCGGCGGCGAAAGCGAUUCUCUGGCCUAUUACUGACACUCAGUGUGCGAAAGCUAGGGGAGCAAACGGGAUUAGAUACCCCGGUAGUCCUAGCCGUAAACGAU